AUUGAACGCUGGCGGCAUGCUUUACACAUGCAAGUCGAACGGCAGCGCGGGCUUCGGCCUGGCGGCGAGUGGCGAACGGGUGAGUAAUAUAUCGGAACGUACCCAGAAGUGGGGGAUAACGUAGCGAAAGUUACGCUAAUACCGCAUACGAUCUACGGAUGAAAGCAGGGGAUCGCAAGACCUUGUGCUCUUGGAGCGGCCGAUAUCUGAUUAGCUAGUUGGUGAGGUAAAGGCUCACCAAGGCGACGAUCAGUAGCUGGUCUGAGAGGACGACCAGCCAACCUGGAACUGAGACACGGUCCAGACUCCUACGGGAGGCAGCAGUGGGGAAUUUUGGACAAUGGGGGCAACCCUGAUCCAGCAAUGCCGCGUGAGUGAAGAAGGCCUUCGGGUUGUAAAGCUCUUUUGUCAGGGAAGAAACGGGAGUGGCUAAUAUCCAUUCCUAAUGACGGUACCUGAAGAAUAAGCACCGGCUAACUACGUGCCAGCCGCCGCCGUAACAC
rnacentral:rRNA from 1 species